rnacentral:misc_RNA from 1 species
GAUGGGGAAAUAUCCAGGGAAGUGGAUAAAGACAGUGCUUUUGGGAAGAAGUCCAACCAGAUCUAAAGGGAGAAAUGCCUCGCUUACAGGCGACAAGGGAUAUAAUAGUGGAAAAGGAUCGCCUACUUUGACUGUGAGUUCUCCAGUUAUUUCUGGACCAGUACUUGUUAGCAUUGAGAGUAAUGGAAUUGUCCCAGAAGCUGAAAAAGGGACCACUUCCAUUUCAAGCGAAGUAAUCACGCUAGAUACAAGUCAAAAUCUCGAGAAAGAAGCCAGUGUCGGAAGCACAUUAUCAAA